UUACGUCGUGACGUCACGACACAAUCACACAGUCCCGAGUCACAUGACACAUUUCACAGCAAAUAGCUCUAUGCCCCGUUUUCUGCCUUUUUGCAGUGAAAAGUCUCGUUAUUAGAACUGAAACUGCUUUAAAAUCUACAGGAGGUUUAAAAAUCCCACAUGGACGAGGACGGGCUGCCGAUUGUGGGGUCUGGUGUCGAUCUUACCAAGGUCCCUGCUAUUCAACAGAGAAGAGUUGUUGCCUAUCUCAAUCAGUUUGUUGUGCACACGGUCCGGUUUCUUAACCGUUUUUCCACAGUUUGUGAAGAGAAACUUGCAAACAUAUCUCUUCGCAUACAGCAGAUUGAAACGACCCUGUGCAUUUUGGAAGCCAAGCUAUCCUCCAUUCCCGGGCUGGAGGACGUCACAAUAGAUGGACUCGGUCAGCGGCAACCUGCUCAGGCCAAUGGACCCACUUCUGCCAAUCAGAUUCAAACAGAAGGUCCACCUGUAGGGAUCCUGCCUCCCCUAGAGCCCACUCAGACUGCACCAGAGCCUGCAACGACACCAAAAGCCGAAGCAGCUGCAGAGAAUGUCAUGACAGUGGCCAAGGACCCCCGUUACGCCCGAUACCUGAAAAUGGUUCAAGUGGGAGUUCCAGUUAUGGCUAUAAAGAAUAAAAUGGUCCUGGAGGGUUUGGAUCCUAACUUGCUUGACACCCCGGAUGCCCCCGUGCCCGAUGAAGGAACGAGGAGCACGGAGGAUCAAGAUGUUGCCGCCACCAGCUCUGACAGCGAAUCAUCUUUCAGCGACUGACAUCUGUGCUUUGUCCCCAUCACCCACAAAGCUUCCUGUAAAGCCAUUGCUGCUCUGAGCCACUGUUGGCCUGUACUGAGAGAGAGAAGUAGGUCGCAGUGUGUGCCUGUUAAGGAGCACCGGGCGAGAAGGUGCAAAUGAAAAGUAAUUUGCUUGGUGGCAAGAAACUUCAAACUUCACAGCACAUUCAGUCUGACCUGUCUUUUCCAGUCGUUGAGAGAUGUUGCCACCUGAUGCAAGAGUUGUACACAAGGAUGCAACGGAGACAGAAGUCAAUACAGAAAGUCAGAGACCUCAUUGGACGAGGCGACGUGGUGCUGACGGUAUAAUCAAACCCCUCACUGAACAGAAUAACAUGAUCAAUAUCUUUUCUUUUCCUUUAGAGUUCUCCGAAUGGUCCUUUUCCCUCCGCUUCUGAUGAGUCCGAUUCAAGCUUCAGCUCGAGCGCAUCACGACUGUCGAUGAGGUUUCCGAGCAAGAGACAAAGAAUGGAGGAUACACUUGAUGCAGCGUCUGCUAAACAGGAAGACUUCCAUGAUGCUGCAGGCGGCACAGGAUACAUCUCGUGGCGUCUGGAAGCAAUCCAACGAAAGAUUUGUCGAGCACCAUCACCAAAUAGCCCUACGGACACUUCUCCCAAAUGUCCAACGAGCUGUUGGUAGAAAGGCAGCUGGAUGCGGACGCUUGCCAAGAGGACAUGUCUCUGCUCAACCAUACCACAGAUCCCUGAUCCUUCAGAAGAUGAGAGAAACCUUUCAGCACCGUCAGACGCUCGUUAGAUUUUUGAAGUUUCAUAAUGCCUCUCUGUUCUCUCAUGCGUGUAAGUAUUACAUUUCAGAGUGUUCAGUUAAAUCAUGUGACUUUUGUCCUCGUCCUACGACCAAGAGAUGUCCUCCUUGGCAUAAAGAGACUUCUACACUUAACUCAUUGACGUAUUUCCAUGUUUGAAAUGAUUACUGUUUGGUGACUGCAGGAAACGAACACUGUUACUUAAAAUAAUGAACAUGGUUGUGCAUUAUACCAUGAAAAUGGAUUUGUUUAUUGGAAUCAAUGAAUAUAUUAUUUAAUAACAUAUUAAUUAGUGUUACUUUAACUCUGUUUUGUGAGUUAAAGAAGGAACUAUUGUACAUAUUUAACUGUUAUGAAAGUGUGGACCUAUAUAAACCCUGGAAAAGGUGAUGAUACAUUCAUUUGACUUUGUAUACCCCUGGUAUGAACAGUUUGUGUGCACAUAAUGUUAAUGUACCUCAUGGAUGUGACGAAGCUAUGUUGAAAUAAGAAAAGAAGUAGUUCUAAUGAUAACGGUGUAUAACUAUGUAUAUCACAUGACAACACAGCUGUGGAGAUACUAAAGCUGAUUUUCAAAAAUAAUAAACAACAAACAAUAUG